AUAGUCAUGGUAGCAUGGCUCUGAGUCAUAAAACUAUGACGCUGAGUCAUCUCAACCAGACGCUGAGUCGUAUAAACAUAACGCAGAGUCAUAAAAUCAUGAAUCACAACAAACGAAUUUGGGCACCGUAAGCGUUACGCAAACCCUCGCGCAGAAUCACCUACGCCAUUUUUGUCACUUCUGUCAAGGCGCCUUUUGUGAGCGGCAGUGUUUUCCGAAGUUGAAAGUGAAAAAACUCUAUAUUCCGGCACAAAACUCCGGCCAGCUUCAUCAGCAGCAGAACAAUCAAGCUCACACGGCGGGCGACAUGGAACAUAAAAUCAGCACGCGCUUGGAUUUCCUUAAGGAAAAAUUCGAGAACCUUAAUUUGCAGCCGCAAAUUGUUUCGGUUGGGGCAUCGCGGGGAGAAGGAGCGGUGCUCGUUAUUUUCGGGGGAGCGGAGUACAAGGCAGACCACAUCCUCCAUGCCAUUUGCAUUUGCAUGCAAGUGAUAUAUGUUUUGAAUCUCCAGUAUGCACCAGACUGCAAGCCCCUCUGGAUGUUCUUGCAGGCUCAUCUGUUCAAAAUCCCAGCGGUAGAUCUACCCAAAAGCACCCGCGAUUUACUGCGGGCUAUUGAGUAGGUUGAAGGCACAAUGAUGAAUAAAUAUUGACAAAUACCAGAAUCAUAAAAAUUACUUCAAUAUUCA